rnacentral:rRNA from 1 species
AGCGAACGCUGGCGGCAGGCUUAACACAUGCAAGUCGAGCGCCCCGCAAGGGGAGCGGCAGACGGGAGAGUAACACGUGGGAACAUACCUUUUGGUUCGGAACAACUGAGGGAAACUUCAGCUAAUACCGGAUAAGCCCUUACGGGGAAAGAUUUAUCGCCGAAAGAUUGGCCCGCGUCUGAUUAGCUAGUUGGUGAGGUAACGGCUCACCAAGGCGACGAUCAGUAGCUGGUCUGAGAGGAUAAUCAGCCUCACUGGGACUGAGACACGGCCCAGACUCCUACGGGAGGCAGCAGUGGGGAAUAUUGGACAAUGGGGGCAACCCUGAUCCAGCCAUGCCGCGUGAGUGAUGAAGGCCUUAGGGUUGUAAAGCUCUUUUGCCCGGGAAGAUAAUGACGGUACCGGGAGAAUAAGCCCCGGCUAACUUCGUG